UCAGAAUAUAUCAAUUCCGUUCUUUCGACAGCCACAAGCGGCUACCGAACAGCUGUUCGCAAAACCCACAAAGGUUAACACGAAGAACUAAAUUCCAAAUGCGGGGCACUUAGACCAGGCCGAAAUAACAAUGUGAAUUUCUAACGGCAAACAUGAUGAUAUUGGCGGAAGCAUCUAAGCUCGAGGAGCAGCAGCAACAACAGCUAAAUCCAAGUAGCAAUUUCAAUGGCCAGACAGGAGUUUGUUGUUGCUGUGGUUCUUGCAACGUCUCACUCAUUCAAACUAACGGAUGUAAAUUACAUUUUAUGCGGAUUGGCUCAGACAGUGGGCGAGAGGGCGGCAAAGCGGAGAACGUGGAGGGAGGUAAGAAUUUGGCCGAACUUGCAAUGGGAGUCAAUCAUGCAGCCGGUUCGCCAGCAAGCAAGGCAGCAAGAGAAGCUGUGGACCCCGCCCCACCAUUCAACCCAGUUGGCCCACCUUGUAAUGCAAACU